UUGACCUGAUCUCCUUGGACCUUUAAAACCCCAUUUUACAGCGGUUGAUAUUGCAGCAACACGUUUAUUCGUUUUAGUUUUGUGUGUUUCGCUGUCCACUCCUCCUGACGCACCAAUUCAGCGCAUUUUCCAGCAGAGAUCGUUGUGAGAUCGCAGGUCGGGAGGAUGAGAGCUCGAGUGUUUUUCUCGUUGGUUGCCGUUUUAUCGUGUGUGUUCGGAUACUUGAGCAUAACCGGCGCUACUCGAACCACAGCAAAGCCAGGACGGUGUCCACCCCAAUCAUCUGGAAGAAGAUCAUGUACUAGUUCCUGUAAGAGUGACUCUAACUGUCCCGACAAUGAGAAGUGCUGCAGCAAUGGAUGUGGACGUUACUGUACGGCUCCAUGUACAGUGAAGCCGGGUCAAUGUCCCAAACCGAAGUACAUUCCACUGUUUGCUGAAAGCUGUUUCCAUGAUGACCAGUGUCCUGCCACACAGAAAUGUUGCCCAACCACCAGUGGUCAUGCAUGCAGUGAACCACGUGGUCAGAGAAGCGGUCAGGGAAGCGGUCAAGGGACUGGCCAGGGAAGUGGUCAAGGCCAGGGGAGAGGUCAGGGGAGUAGUCAAGGGACUGGUCAGGGAAGGGGUCAGGGAAGUGGCCAAGGGACUGGUCAGGAAAGUGGUCAAGGCCAGGGAAGUGGUCAUGAUCAGGGAAGCGGCCAGGGCCAGGGAAGCGGUCAGGGUCAGGGAAGCGGCCAGGGAAGCGGUCAGGGAAGCGGUCAAGGUCAGGGAAGCGGCCAGGGAAGCGGUACUGGCCAGGGAAUCGGUUUUGGCCAGGGAUGGGAUCAUUGAAAUGGUCAUGGGAACUUUGUGUAAGACCUACUGGAGAUCUUUUCAAUUCAGUGCUUUAUUCAUAUGGCAUGUUUUCUCAAACAGUUUAGAAAGAUUUGUCAACCCCCCUCCCUCAAAUAAAAAGAAAAUUGCUUGAA